rnacentral:rRNA from 1 species
AUUGAACGCUGGCGGCAGGCCUAACACAUGCAAGUCGAGCGAGCGGCGGACGGGUGAGUAAUGUAUGGGGACUGCCCGAUAGAGGGGGCUAAAUACUGGAAACGGUGGCUAAUACCGCAUACCAUCGGAUACCCCAUAUGGGAUUAGCUAGUAGGUGGGGUAAAGGCUCACCUAGGCGACGAUCUCUAGCUGGUCUUAGAGGAUGAUAAGCCAAAUUGGGACUGCAACACGGCCCAGACUCCUACGGAGGCAGCAGUGGGGAAUAGUGAACAAUGGGCGAAAGCCUGAUGCAGCCAUGCCGCGUGUAUGAAGAAGGCCUUAGGUUUGUAAAGUACUUUCAGCGGGGAGGCGUUACCCGCAGAAGAAGCACCGGCUAACUCCGUGCCAGCAGCCGCGGUAAUAC